UGGGGAAUAUUGGACAAUGGGCGCAAGCCUGAUCCAGCCAUGCCGCGUGGGUGAUGAAGGCCCUAGGGUUGUAAAGCCCUUUCGGCGGGGAAGAUAAUGACGGUACCCGCAGAAGAAGCCCCGGCUAACUUCGUGCCAGCAGCCGCGGUAAUACGAAGGGGGCUAGCGUUGCUCGGAAUCACUGGGCGUAAAGCGCACGUAGGCGGCUUUUUAAGUCGGGGGUGAAAUCCUGGAGCUCAACUCCAGAACUGCCUUCGAUACUGAGAAGCUCGAGUCCGGGAGAGGUGAGUGGAACUGCGAGUGUAGAGGUGAAAUUCGUAGAUAUUCGCAAGAACACCAGUGGCGAAGGCGGCUCACUGGCCCGGUACUGACGCUGAGGUGCGAAAGCGUGGGGAGCAAACAGGAUUAGAUACCCGCGUAGUCC
rnacentral:rRNA from 1 species